AUUGAACGCUGGCGGCAGGCUUAACACAUGCAAGUCGAGCGGAGAUGAGGUGCUUGCACCUUAUCUUAGCGGCGGACGGGUGAGUAAUGCUUAGGAAUCUGCCAUUUAGUGGGGGACAACAUUCCGAAAGGAAUGCUAAUACCGCAUACGUCCUACGGGAGAAAGCAGGGGAUCUUCGUACCUUGCGCUAAAUGAUGAGCCUAAGUCGGAUUAGCUAGUUGGUGGGGUAAAGGCCUACCAAGGCGACGAUCUGUAGCGGGUCUGAGAGGAUGAUCCGCCACACUGGGACUGAGACACAGCCCAGACUCCUACGGGAGGCAGCAGUGGGGAAUAUUGGACAAUGGGCGGAAGCCUGAUCCAGCCAUGCCGCGUGUGUGAAGAAGGCCUUUUGGUUGUAAAGCACUUUAAGCGAGGAGGAGGCUACUAGUACUAAUACUACUGGAUAGUGGACGUUACUCGCAGAAUAAGCACCGGCUAACUCUGUGCCAGCCGCCGCGGUAAAAC
rnacentral:rRNA from 1 species